AAAAUUAAGAAAACUUGUAGGAGUGAGUUGCCAAAAUUAUAGCAGCAUCUUAAUUAAAACACUUGCAUUUAUUUAAAAAAAAAAUUACCUUGUAGCUAGUAAAACAUCUUAUUUUCUACGUUUUGAAAAUUUUUGAAAGUUAUCCGUCAAAAAAUGCACGAGUACCAUCUAUUUAAAGACCAUCUAGUUACUGAGUUAAACGCAAUAUUUGAUGAUACAACUAUAAAGACACUCGACUUCUUUUCAAAAAACUUGAGUUUAUUCAAAAACAAUAUUUUCUUCAACUAAAUUUCCGCCCAAAUGGUUUUUCUUUGGCGAAUAUGCAGACAGAGUUCAAGAUAUUAAAGAAGUUGUUAAUAAGUUUGUUAUAAAUGAUGGUAGACUAUACUUUAAAA